rnacentral:rRNA from 1 species
AGUGAACGCUGGCGGUGGGCCUAACACAUGCAAGUCGAACGGCAGCACAGUAAGAGCUUGCUCUUACGGGUGGCGAGUGGCGGACGGGUGAGGAAUACAUCGGAAUCUACUUUUUCGUGGGGGAUAACGUAGGGAAACUUACGCUAAUACCGCAUACGACCUACGGGUGAAAGCAAGGGAUCUUCGGACCUUGCGCGAUUGAAUGAGCCGAUGUCGGAUUAGCUAGUUGGCGGGGUAAAGGCCCACCAAGGCGACGAUCCGUAGCUGGUCUGAGAGGAUGAUCAGCCACACUGGAACUGAGACACGGUCCAGACUCCUACGGGAGGCAGCAGUGGGGAAUAUUGGACAAUGGGCGCAAGCCUGAUCCAGCCAUACCGCGUGGGUGAAGAAGGCCUUCGGGUUGUAAAGCCCUUUUGUUGGGAAAGAAAAGCAGCAGGUUAAUACCCCGCUGUUCUGACGGUACCCAAAGAAUAAGCACCGGCUAACUUCGUG